rnacentral:rRNA from 1 species
AACAAGGUCUCCGUUGGUGAACCAGCGGAGGGAUCAUUACCGAGUGUAAAAACUCCCAAACCAUUGUGAACCUACCACUGUUGCUUCGGCGGCCUCGCCCCGGGCGCGUUCGCGCGGCCCGGACCCAGGCGUCCGCCGGAGGCUCCAAACUCUUGUCUUUUAGUGUAUUUCUGAGUGGCAUAAGCAAAUAAAUCAAAACUUUCAGCAACGGAUCUCUUGGUUCUGGCAUCGAUGAAGAACGCAGCAAAAUGCGAUAAGUAAUGUGAAUUGCAGAAUUCAGUGAAUCAUCGAAUCUUUGAACGCACAUUGCGCCCGCCAGUAUUCUGGCGGGCAUGCCUGUCUGAGCGUCAUUUCAACCCUCAGGACCCGUUCGCGGGACCUGGCGUUGGGGAUCAGCCUGCCCCUGGCGGCGGCUGGCCCUGAAAUCCAGUGGCGGUUCCCUCGCGAACUCCUCCGUGCAGUAAUUAAACCUCUCGCGGCAGGAUAGCGGUUGAACCACGCCGUUAAACCCCCCACUUCUCAAGGUGACCUCAGAUCAGGUAGGAUAC